UUGGGAAAGACUUAUAUGUUUUGUCUGGUUUAUUACGAUGUUUUUUCUUUUUAUAUACUUUAUGGAUUUUAUGUGGUUUAGUUUUAUCUAUAUGAAUUUGGUCCAUAUGAUAGCCAAAUUGUUGGCAGAAAUCUCCUAAUUCUUUUUUACCACUUAAAUUCUGUUUAUCAAGUUGCUUUUUGAGUUUCAGAUCUGUACAUAGGGCUAGGCCUUCAGCACAGAUUUCUGAAGAUAAUUCUCUUAAUGUAUAUUGAGAAUAAUUUAUUACACCACUAUUCUUAUUUUUUAGACGUUCUUUGACCUUUUCAGCAAAU
rnacentral:lncRNA from 1 species